GAGCAAGACUCUUUCUCAAAAAAAAAAAGAAAAAAAAUCUGGAAGAGUCCAUCACACCCAUCGCCCUGCACCUCCUGCUGUGACUUUGCUUCCUAAUCUUCCCCAGAGCUUCCCUUGGCUGGGACAGUGAGAGUCCCCUGCCAGGAAGGCCCAGACACCCCAUCUCAUACUCAGGAUCUUCUAUGGAUCCUCAAAGCUAUCACCCAACACAGAGGGGGAGCAGGCGCCAAGGGGGUCUCAGGCCUGGAAUGUGCCUGCAGCCACACCCUGCCUGUCAAGGGUCUUCUGUGGAUCCUCAAAACUAUCACCCAACACAGAGGGGAACAGGCGCCAAGGGGGUCUCAGGCCUGGAAUGUGCCUGCAGCCACACCCUGCUUGUUAAGGGCCCAGCUGGGGACCGGACGGGGCCCUAUGUUGAGACCAGGCCCGGCCAGGACUGGGUCUAGGGCCCAGCCACUCCACCCUGUAUCCCAGCAGGUGGCCAUUGAGGCACUGAUCUGCUUUCUGGGGUGAGCCUGCCCCCUGCAGGGCCUGGGCAGGACAGCCAUCGCAUUGAGGAGGGCAGCAGCCUGGCUCAUUCCCCAGGGUGGAGCCAGGAAGAGAGGGAGGUGCCUAUUGCUUGGGGUGAGGAGGAAGUGGCUGAAGCACCAGGAGUCACAGAACAGCGCCACGUCUCUCCACCUCUGUGUGCCACCCGCUGCCCUCCUCCCUCCAGAACCCGACCUGGCUCUGAGGUGCCAAGACACCCCAGGAACAUCACAGGCUUGAUUCCUUCAUCCCCUAGGCUUUGGGGUCUGGGAGAGAGCCUCACUUCUCCCCCAGAUUCCUGGAGCCGAAUGCUUGACCCUUGGCAAAGGACCAGCCCCAGUCUUGGAAAGCACAUUGGAACCACAGGUCCCAGCUCUCCCGCUGGGCAGGUCUUUGACCCCGUCCAGACCUCAGUCUUUCCAUGUGUAAAAUGGGCACAGCUGUGCCAAUUCAUGGGAUUGCUGUAAAGAUGAAAUGAAAGAAAGGAUGAGAGUAAAGGAUGCGCUACUGUGUCCCCCUUUCCGUUAUCUCUUUCAUUCCGGCAUCUCUUGUGCUGACAUGGCCUCAUUCACAAUCAUUGGCAUGGACAUUAGCCAGGUGCCAAUGGAAAGGGGCUGUUUCCUCAUAGCCACAGCACUGGGAAUCAGCGGUGUGAGACUGGCAUGGGCGUGGCACCUAGGUCAACCCUGGGAAGGGGAGCAUUGACCCAGCAGGCCUGAUAAAUCUGCCCUCACUUGAAUGGCCGCCCCACACCUGAUAAAGAGUUGAGUCCCAGAGAGAAUGAGGCGGAUUCCCCACCCACUGCCUCUCCUACCCUUCUGACCAGAGAGCCGGGAUGACCACCUGCUACUCCCAACUCAAGAAGGCUCCUGGGGUAGCUUUGGCAGAAACACCUGCUCUCGGCCUGCCCUCUGAGCUUCCCCGGGAUUCCUGAUGGGGCCACAUAGGUCCUCAGAUGGGGCCCAGCUUCUCAGUGUCCUUGCUGGGGUCUGGGUGAAAGGCUCCCAGGCCAGAGUCCCCACUGGGCCUAGAGUGCAGCUCAUUUCACUGCUCCUGUGGGCAACUACCCUCACCCCCCACCAAGUUUUGCAAAACUAGCUCAGAGAAUGAGGGGGCUGCCCCUAAACAGCCAUGCCCGGGGUCUCAGGAAGAGGGGCUGCUCUGGGCCCCAUAAGCCCUGGGAUCUGGACCCCAGGGUGCCUUGGAGCAGCCAGGGUAGCUCAGCAUUGAGACCCCAGGCCCCUCUCUCAGUCUAGGGUAGGGGCUCCUGUGCUCUCUGUACAAUACUUACUUACCACUUUCAUUUCCCAUAGCUUGUAUCUAUUUAUUCCCUCAUUUCUCCAUUCAACACAUUUAUUGAGCCCUUAUAACGUUCUAGGUAUGAGGAUGAGACUGACGAUGAAACCAGCCCUACCCAGAAGGAACGCAUAGCUUAGAAAAGAGAACGAGAAAGAUCAUGACCAGAGGGACAGUGAAGAGGAAAAAGAGAAGAACACCCACACCGGAAUCCAGGAGGUGAGUCAACGUGCAAGGAGUGAGCAGAGCAGGAAGAGGUUGCGAAUCAGAGCAGGGGCAGCCAAAGCGGCAGGGAGAGAGUGGGGAGCACAGAGAGAAGGGGCCAGGUUAGUGCAGCGGCCAGCCAGGGAGCUGGUCCCAGGAGUGGUUGGGAGUGGCAAGACCUAGGGGUGGGCUGGGGAGGACAUUAGGAGUGGAUGCCUCAGGCCAACAAGGAGCCAUUUGCCUGAGAAUAAACCUCUCUGCAGGAAGCAGGGAGGUGGCAGGUGGGGGCUGGGCCUCCUUCUCCCCAGAUCACCCCUUCACUGGCCCCUUGCAGCCUGCCCCAGAGGCAUCUGUACUUUUUGCCCAUGUUUCACGCUCCCUUGACUCUACUAUCAGCUGCCAUUCUCACUGAACAUCCUAAUCUGCAAGGCUGUUGAACUGGCUCACGUGCCCCUGCGCUGUCUCUGGUGUGUUCCGUCUGUCCAUGUCUGCUGGACACCAUCGUCUGUGAGCUGCCUGUGUCCCCUGUGUUUGCCGUUGUUGUGUCUGUGUGCUCAGAUGGCCCAUGGGCCUAUGUCUGUCCUUCCUAGAUAGGAAGCUCCCCAGGCUUGUCGUUGUCUGGAUUAGCUACUCCGCCCAGCUGUGUCCCCCUCACCCGCUAAACCAGGGCCCUAGCAGGGGCCACCUAAGAAACCAGGCCAGAAUCAAAAAUAUGUUUGCAGAAAGGCAGGAAACUUUAUUGAAUAAUCUUUUCUUUGGGGUAGAGAAGUUGAGAAACCAAAGCGUAUCCAGGUCAGAGAGGAGAGA
rnacentral:lncRNA from 10 species